rnacentral:misc_RNA from 1 species
AAAGUCGUAACAAGGUUUCCGUAGGUGAACCUGCGGAAGGAUCAUUACUGUGUCGUUGGGGUUCGCCCCGAUUACCCGCCCUCAUGUCAUUUCAAGGUUGUAAAAGACCUCUUGUUUUACUUCGGCCGAGGCGUUCGGUUACCCGGCGGUCUAGCACCAAUGGGGACAGGACCGCGGCCGGCUGGCCUCUGGGUCAACCUCACUCUUUGCACACGCAUGAAGUCUGAGCAAACAGAAAAUAAAAAGCAAAACUUUCAACAACGGAUCUCUUGGCUCUG